CUCAAAACACACUCCUCUGGUCAUUCUAAAGGCUCUCAAGCAUUUCUCUGUAUACUCUAAGCAAGACCCAACUUCUGAGUUAUGCCAAAUGGCGCAAAUUUCGGAACUUUGGAGCCCAGUAAAAGUACUUGCGACUACUGAUUAGAAUAUACGGCUGAGUUAUUAUUCUUGCUAUUUAAGACAGGAGCUAGCUCAGGUGCUAUACGUAAUAGGCUGGCUACUCCAGGCAUCAUUAUUCAAGUCUUGCAAGCUUUAGAUGUCAAAGUCUGUUGAACAAUACUUUUCGAUAUUAUUAUUUGAUCCCCUGUGGAUACCUUUCGACUAUUUGUAAUACAUUUGAUAUUACGAACAAUAGUUGAAUAUAAUUAUCUUUAUGCUUCCGCUGUGCAUUAUUAUAUUGUGUGGUUUGACUAUGAUGUCUCCAACUAUGUCACGGUAAUCCCCACCGGGCCCACCGGUGAUACACGUGGAAAUCGGGGUGUGACAGCUAGCUACCGGCACAACGUGGGGAACGACCAGCACAAUUUAAACGCGUGCCAACACAAGUGGCGCGAGCUACGACCGAAGCUCGACCGUUUUAAAGCCUACUACGAUAGCGUCCUAGACGGUGAUAUAAGUCACGAAGAUAUUGUGGCGGUGGCCAACAUCGAGUUCCUGGGCAAGGAGUGGAAGCCGUUUGACAAGCUUGCCAUGUUCGAAAUCUACCUAACGCUUUAGGCUUUUUUUUAAAUUUUGUAAUCUCUUUUUUUUUAGAAUUUUGUAAUUUUUAGGAACUUUUAACAAUAUAUUUAGGCUUUUUUUUA
rnacentral:lncRNA from 1 species